AGUCGGCCUGCGCGGAAGAUGUAACGGGGCUAAGUAGUAAACCGAAGCUGCGGCAAUGUGCUUUUGCACAUUGGGUAGGGGAGCGUUCUGUAAGCGGUUGAAGGUGUGUGGUAACGCAUGCUGGACGUAUCAGAAGUGCGAAUGCUGACAUGAGUAACGAUAAAGGGGGUGAAAAACCUCCUCGCCGGAAGACCAAGGGUUCCUGUCCAACGUUAAUCGGGGCAGGGUAAGUCGACCCCUAAGGCGAGGCCGAAAGGCGUAGUCGAUGGGAAACGGGUUAAUAUUCCCGUACUUCUUACAAUUGCGAUGGGGGGACGGAGAAGGCUAGGUGGGCCUGGCGACGGUUGUCCAGGUUCAAGUGCGUAGGCUUAAGAGUUAGGUAAAUCCGGCUCUUUCUAAGGCUGAGACACGACGUCGAGCACCUACGGG
rnacentral:rRNA from 1 species